GACGAAGGGGGCUAGCGUUGUUCGGAAUUACUGGGCGUAAAGAGUGUGUAGGCGGUGCUCUAAGUCUGUCGUGAAAUCUCCCGGCUUAACUGGGAGGGUGCGGCGGAUACUAUUGUGCUAGAGGGUGGGAGAGGUAAGCGGAAUUCCUGGUGUAGCGGUGAAAUGCGUAGAUAUCGGGAGGAACACCGGUGGCGAAGGCGGGUCUCUGGGCCGAUACUGACGCUGAGGAGCGAAAGCGUGGGGAGCGAACAGG
rnacentral:rRNA from 1 species